ensembl:snoRNA small nucleolar RNA SNORA5
UGCAGCCGUGUCAAAUUCGGUGCCUGCCCACCCAUGGCAGGCACUGGCCCAGAAGGCUGCCACAGAAACACUGUGGUGCAUGGGCCCUGAUCCCCUCUGCUGGGCCUCAGGGAUAAGUUUGGCUACAGACAUCA